UUUCCGUAGGUGAACCUGCGGAAGGAUCAUUAAAAAAUGUGGUACCGAUUGUUGGUACUAAAUUAAUCAUCCUACCCUUUGUGAAUUUGUUUGUAACGAAUUUUUUUAAAUGGGUCUUUCCCUAAGUUGGAUUGUAGUAAAAUACAAAAAAGACUUAGGGGAAUGACUUUUUUAAAAGACUUUUUUUUAAAUUAAAACUUUUUGUAUUCAUUUGUCUAAAAUUUAUUUUUAUAAUAUAAAAACAACUUUUGACAAUGGAUCCCUUGGUUCUCGCAACGAUGAAGAACGCAGCAAAAUGCGAUAAGUAGUGUGAAUUGCAGAAUACGUGAAUCAUCGAAUCUUCGAACGCAUAUUGCACUUUUUUAGUUUACUAAAAAAGUAUGUCUGUUUGAGUAUCAGUAAAAUAUUCUCACAAACAUAUAUUGUUUGUGGUUAUGAGUGUUUUACAACGAUAAACAAGUUGUUUCACUUUAAAUUCUUUUUGUAAGUUUUUUACCAAUUUACAAAUUUAAAAUUGGAUAAAAUUUUCCUUUAACGAGGAAUAACCUAAACAAUUUUAAAUUUUUGGUUAUGUAAAGUCCAUAAAGGAAUCUAUACAUAAAUAACUUGAUCUCAAAUCAGAUAAGAGCACCCGCUGAACUUAAGCAUAUCAAUAAGCGGAGGAAAAGAAACUAACAAGGAUUCCCUUAGUAACGGCGAGUGAAGCGGGAAGAGCUCAAAUUUGAAAUCUUCAAGGUUUGACCCUGACGAAUUGUAGUUUAUAGAAGUGUUUUCUGUUGGAGUUUUGGUAAAAGUUCUUUGGAAUAGGACAUCAUAGAGGGUGAGAAUCCCGUAUUUGACCAUGACUUUCCAGCUGUGUGAUACACUUUCAAAGAGUCGGAUUGUUUGGGAAUGCAGCCCAAAAUGGGUGGUAAAUUUCAUCUAAAGCUAAAUAUUGGCGAGAGACCGAUAGCGAACAAGUACCGUGAGGGAAAGAUGAAAAGAACUUUGAAAAGAGAGUUAAACAGUACGUGAAAUUGUCAAAAGGGAAGCGUUUGACACCAGUGUUGUUUCUCUCGAAAAUCAAUUUAAUGGGUUCUUGUUUUUAAGUUAUUGUGACUUUAUCAGCGCAUUUCUUAUUUUACUUGACUCAUUGAAUGCACUUUUCGUUUAACAAGUCAACAUCAAUUUCUUUGGUGGUAAAAAGUUUAAAGGAAGGUGGCUUGGACUUCGGUUCAAGUGUUUAUAGCCUUUUUUCUAUGCCAUCGGAGAGAUUGAGGUCUGCAGCGUAGAUCCUUCGGGGUUAGAUACCUUUGUGCUAAGUUAUAGUUUUUUAUAGACAACUUGUUGACUAUAAUUAACCCUGUAAUUUACUCGCUUAGAGCUAUUUUACCUACGCUUAGGAUGUUG
rnacentral:misc_RNA from 1 species